rnacentral:lncRNA from 1 species
AAAUUAAAUAAUUAAAGUGUGAAGUUCCUUAUUUGACUCAUUUUUUCGUUAUAUUUUCACAUCUCAACCGUUCAGUUUGUAGAACCUAAUGCAUAGAUCACUUCUGCAAAGUUUUAUCUAAUUUCAUAAUCAUUUGGGUUUUCUUAAUUGUUAUUUACACAAACAAUUCUAGUUAGACAAAUUUGUGGUCCGUUCAUUGAUUUGAUCUAAUUUAGUACUCAAACGAUCAUCAAUCUUUAAUUUGACUCACUUUUUCGCUUUGAUUUGAUUUAAUUGACUCAAACAUUUAUUGAUUUGAUUUAAUUUCGCUUUAAAAUUAAAAUGUGAAGUUCCUUAUUUGACUAGGGCUGGGCACGGGCCCAGACCGACACCUUUUUUAUAGGGACCAGGCCCGGACCGGGUACACUUCUAACGGGCCCAUUAUUUGCCUCAGAUUUUUUGGGACCGGCGAGAGCCCGAACUGGCAUGAACCGGGCCGGUCCUCCCGGGCUUACGGGCCAAUUUCGAGAGCCCAAUAACUGGACGAAAUAAUAUUCAAAACAGGGAAGAGAGAAGGUUCGAACCUCUCACUUGUCACAUGAGAUCCAACACGGAUACCACCAGACCAACUUGAGCUUCCGAUCAAAACUGUACAAAUGUUUAAUAUAUUCAGUUUUUAAUUCACACCUCACAUAUUAAAACUUAUUUCUUUCCCUUCUUCUUAUGCCGUCAUUCAAUUGAGAAUUUACUUCAUCUUAUUGUUCUUUUUGUGUUUCCAGGUCGUGGGUGUGGUUUGGUCAAAUUCUCUUCUCUCUCUCUCAUUUUUGUUUCCUCUCCCCCAAAUCCCUAAUCGGCUAAUACCCAUCAACUCAACAUCAGAUCUUCAUCCAAAUCAUCAUCAGUUUUUUCACUUCUAAUUUCCAUCACCAUGAACAUCAUCUGUCAUCCUCAAUUUCACAUCGGUUGAGGCAACUUCAUCCUAAGUCUACUCGGGAUAGGUGACCCGACAAUACCAACGACGAAGCAAGACUCCCAUCAUGCCGAGCGGCGCAUUCAACUGCUCUGGUGGANNNNN